GACCCCUUAGCAGCUCCGGCCCUUCUACUGUAAAUAUGGCCGCUGUCGUUCCUUUUAGAAUCUCGCGUAAAUAUAUUUCUACGAUAACAUGUACGAAUGGACGUAGAUUAUAUUCAUCCACACAGAAGAACAGUGUACUUACAUCGAGGGAUGUGCGGCGUAUGUUUAUAGAUUUCUUUAAGGAUCGACAUCAGCACAGGGUCGUGCCGUCCUCCCCCGUGCGCCCGCGCGGAGACCCAAGCCUGCUGUUCGUCAAUGCCGGCAUGAACCAGUUCAAGCCCAUCUUCCUGGGCUCGGUGGAUCCCCGCAGCGAGAUGGCGAGGUACCGGCGAGUGGUGAACAGUCAAAAGUGCGUCCGUGCAGGAGGCAAACACAACGACCUGGACGACGUCGGCCGGGAUGUCUACCACCACACCUUCUUCGAGAUGCUGGGAAACUGGUCCUUCGGCGACUACUUUAAGGAAGAGUCCUGCGCCAUGGCUUGGCAGCUUCUGACCGAGGUUUACGGCAUCCCACCGGACCGGCUCUACGUGUCCUAUUUCGGCGGUGACGAGAGACUGGGUCUUAAGCCUGACAGAGAUACACAGGAGAUUUGGCUAAGCAUGGGGGUGCAGCCUAAUCGAAUUUUGCCCUUUGGGAUGAAGGAUAAUUUUUGGGAAAUGGGCGAGACAGGCCCUUGUGGCCCUUGUACGGAGAUUCAUUACGAUCACGUCGGGGGGAGAGAUGCAGCCCGCUUGGUCAACGGGGACAGCGCAGAUGUGGUGGAGAUCUGGAACUUGGUCUUCAUGCAGUACAACAGGGAGGCCGAUGGGAGCCUGCGUGCGCUGCCCCAGCUCAGUGUGGACACCGGCAUGGGCCUGGAGCGGCUGCUGGCUGUCUUACAGGGCCACCGCUCCAACUACGACACCGACCUCUUCACACCCCUGCUGGCCUCCAUCCACCAGUGCUCCAAAUGCCCAGAAUACCGUGGCCAGACCGGGCAAUCAGACGUGUCAGGGGUGGACAUGGCGUACCGUGUUAUCGCCGACCACGUCCGCACUCUGACAGUUUGCAUCGCUGAUGGAGUAUAUCCAGGGAUGUCGGCAGCUGAGCUGGUCCUGCGGCGGAUUUUGCGCCGGGCUGUGCGGUUCUCCAUCGAGGUGCUCCAGUCUCCCCCAGGGUCUCUGGCUAGACUUGUGCCCACGGUGGCCGACAUCCUUGGUGAUGCUUAUCCUGAAGUGGCCAAAGAAACUGAGAGGAUCAUGGACAUCAUCAAUGAGAAUGAGGCCCAGUUUCUGUCCUCGCUGAGUCAGGGUCGGCGUGUCAUCGACAGAACCUUGCAGAGGAUGGACGGGGCUCGGCUGUUUCCAGGAUCCAUCGCCUGGUCCCUGCAUCGCAACCUGGGCUUUCCCCUCGACCUUGUCAGCCUGAUGGUGGAGGAAAAAGGCGUUGCCAUGGACACAGAAACCCUGCUUAGGUUAGCAGUGGAGGAAGAGAAGUUGAAGACCGAGGCCCAGGCUUCUGACACGCAGAGCUGCACACAGCUGGACGUCCUCACCCUCACUGAACUGCAGAACAAGGGUGUUCCCUUCACAGAGGACUCGCCAAAGUACCACUACAGUCUGGGGAAGGAUGGGAAGUAUGCAUUCCUGCCCUGUCAGGCCACCGUCCAGGCACUCUACUGUGGACAGGCCUUGGUACAGGAAGUGUAUGAGGGCCAGAGGUGUGGCGUCAUUCUGGACCAGACUUGCUUCUAUGCAGAGCAAGGAGGACAAAACCAUGACCAGGGAUACUUCACCCAAGACAGCCAGCCAGACGUCCUCUUCCCCGUGGAGAAGGUGCAGCUGGUCGGAGGGUACGUGGUUCAUCAGGUCACUGCCACUGAGGCCCUCCGGAAGGGAGACCAGCUUCAACUCUUUAUAGACGAGGCCCAGAGGCUGGCCUGCAUGGUGAAACACACAGCCACACACAUCCUCAACUUCACCCUCAGGCAGCUGCUGGGAGAGGAGGUGGAGCAGCGUGGCUCUCAUGUCACGGCGGAGCGCCUACGCUUCGAUUUCAGCAUCAAGAAACCACUGAGCACCCAGCAGCUUCAGGAGGUUGAGAAGAUGAUGCAAGACAUUAUAAAACGAGACGAGCCUGUUUACGCGGAGGAGCUGCCCUUACUGGUAGCCAGAGCCAUACCAGGACUGCGAACUGUGGAUGAGGUCUACCCUGAUCCAGUGAGGGUGGUGUCAGUAGGUGUCCCUGCAUCUGACCUGCUCCACGGCCCCAACCCCAGCACAACAUCUAUUGAGCUCUGUUGCGGAACGCACCUCCUGAGGACAGGGUACAUCCAGGACUUCGUCAUCGUGUCUGAGAGGCAGAUGGUGAAGGGAAUCAGUCGCGUUGUAGCCGUCACAGGAGAGGAAGCAAAUAAGGCUCGCGACGCCGGCCACGCCCUGGCCCAGGAGGUGGAGUCCCUGUCCACACGGGUGCCAGCGGCACCCCCCUGCUUGCCCUCCGCACACGGCCUGUCCAAAGAAGCGGGUUUGCUGAUCGAUGCCGUGGAGAACACCGCCAUCCCCCAGUGGCAGAGGAGGGAGCUUCAGAGCCAGCUGCGGGCUCUACAGCGGGCCACCAACACCAUGGUUAGGAAGCUGGAGAUCGCUGAGGCAGCCAACAAAGUUCAGGCAUUGCUAACAAAACACCAGGAAGAAAAGCUGGUGGUGGACACCAUGGACACGGACUCGAUAUCAGUGCUGAUGAAGGCAGUGAAUCAGUACAGUGACCAAGCCCCUGGGACGCUGGUCAUGUUACUGUCACAGCAGCAGUCUGGAAAGGUCCUCUGUGCCUGUCAGGUGCCCAAGAGCUGCGGCCCUCUGUCCGCCAGCGACUGGGCCCUGGCCGUGUGCACCUACCUUGGGGGAAACGCCGGCGGCUCCACCACUGUGGCCAAGGGGACGGGAUGCACCACAGAUAUUACAGAGGCUAUCCACUGGGCAAAGGAGUUCGCAAAGGGCAAGAGGCGGAGCUGAGCGCACUGGGACAUCACCUGCUGUCUGUUUCUCAUAGAAAACUACCUUGAUGUUAAGGGACUGUGGAGACUGUGAAGGCUUCCAUCUCUGAAGCUUUAGAGUAGAGUGAAAGUCAGCCACUAGAGGAAGACAAAAGCAACACUCAAAAACCAGAAAUAUCCAUCAUAGACAAUGCACCCACAAACAUUACUUACAAGAUUUUAGUACAGAAGCUGCUUCACUUGCUAUUUAUCAACAGUUUUUGUGCUACGCUGCCCAGUGCUAGCAGGCCUAGCUACCUGCUUCCGAUGACUUACCUGUGCAAAGUUAAAGCUCACCAUUCCAGAAUCUUCUGUGUCCAGGCUUUUAAAUAUUUCUGUUAAAACAUGUUUAUUGCGUGUUACAAUUGAAUUGAAGCAUCAAAAUACAUGUGAAACAGUAUUAAAACAGUGAGAUUGUCA